AGAGUUUGAUCAUGGCUCAGGAUGAACGCUAGCGGGAGGCCUAACACAUGCAAGCCGAGCGGUAGAGAUUCUUCGGAAUCUUGAGAGCGGCGUACGGGUGCGGAACACGUGUGCAACCUACCUUUAUCUGGAGGAUAGCCUUUCGAAAGGAAGAUUAAUACUCCAUAAUAUAUUGAUUGGCAUCAAUUGAUAUUGAAAGCUCCGGCGGAUAGAGAUGGGCACGCGCAAGAUUAGUUAGUUGGUGAGGUAACGGCUCACCAAGACGAUGAUCUUUAGGGGCCUGAGAGGGUGAUCCCUCACACUGGUACUGAGACACGGACCAGACUCCUACGGGAGGCAGCAGUGAGGAAUAUUGGUCAAUGGGUGCAAGCCUGAACCAGCCAUCCCGCGUGAAGGACGACUGCCCUAUGGGUUGUAAACUUCUUUUGUAUAGGGAUAAACCUACCCUCGUGAGGGUAGCUGAAGGUACUAUACGAAUAAGCACCGGCUAACUCCGUG
rnacentral:rRNA from 1 species